UUUUAGCAGUUACUGUUUAUCUUAAAACUUGAUGCUUUAAGACUUAAAAGGACAGAGACAUAUAGAGAGAUGUUGCAAAGCUCAUAUAAAAGAAAAGGGAUCAUGUUUCAGGGAUUCAUUUAGCUUAGGAUGUGAAAACUUACCCAGAUUUUCCAGCUGAAAUUUCUUAUGAAAGAUUCCUAGGUGAAAAAGAUAAGAGUUUCCUGACAAGGGUUCUAGGCAUCUACAUUUGUUCCUCCAAGGGCAUUAGCAAUAUUUGAAUUGGCUUAUGACUUCAUAUUUCUCCCCUGCCUGAGCGGCAGUUUUACUGCACCUUUAUUGGAUUUACUAUUGUAAUUGGAUAUGGAAUUGUGCCGGGAAGCAUAUAUUUUAAUAUGUGCACCUUAGCAAUCUAAAUCAUUAGGAUGGUGACUCACUCAGCAUUUAACAGGGAAAUUAGCUGGCUUUGUCUGUGUGUGAACAUUUGGGGAGGAGCUGACCCUAACUUUGGAAAUAUACCAGUAUUCCAGAUCACCUGUGGCCGUAUGAAGGGUGGGAAUUCCUCUAGCUUAUCAGGCUAGAUUUCGUCAAACAUAUCUUUGCUUUAUUUUGGAGAACUAACAAAUUAGGGGAUUCCCUAGCUGAGAAAUGAUUAGAUAUAUGUUUAGGAAAUUUGCUAGCCCAUUGAAUUAUGUCACUGCUGAUUUGGUAAGGGUGCUUCAGCAAGUUCACUAUUAUAUUAUUUGAUAGUGUACACUAUAUUAUUUGAUAAUGCUAUCAAAUAAUACCUAUGCAGGAAAUUGGAAAGGACUGGUUUGAGAAGACAGUGAUGUCUCUAAGGAGCUGGAGGAUUGCAGUGUGUUGCUAUCCAACACUAACAGGGUUCUCUUGUGGCGCAGCAGGUUAAGGAUCGGGUGUUGUCACUGCAGUGGCUCAGGUCACUGCUGUGGUGCCCACUUGAUUUCUUGCCUGGGAACUUCUACAUGAUGUGGGUGCGGCCAAAAGAAAACCCCACUAAAAUGUCCCUUACUUUUCUGUGAUGGUACAAGCAGAAUAUGCAGUAUGCCUGACUGUGAUUUUUUUGUUUGUUUUGUUUUGGUUAAGGCUGGGGGAAUGUAGAGGUAGCCAUUUUUAAGAAAAAGCUAAAAAUGUAAAGAUAUAUUUAUUACAAUGUUUAUAUGUUUAUAUUGCAGUAGGCAAAAGGUCUGUAUUCAUUUGCUUUUUUUUUUUUUCCCCUGUUCUCUACCUGCCUUUGGUCAUUUUCCCCUUUUCUUGGCCUUCCGGGUUAUUUGGUUUGGGACAUUUAAUAAAACCAUAUGCAAUAUUUUCACACUAUUUUUAUGAGACUGGAUAUCGUCUCUCUCCACUUCUCUGUCAGUUGUAUUCUUUCAGCCUGUUUACAAAAACCAGACACAUGUUCCUGUUUCAGCUUGGGAGCUUGUGCAUCUGUUGACAGUUCAGAAAUAAUCAGUUUAGAUUUCAGCAGCUGAUUAAGUGCUCAGUUCUAACCAAACUGAGAAGGAACUCUUAGGAAUGCUAACAGAUACUAUUCUACUUAGUUGUCUGCACAAAAAUGUAAUAAUGAUCAUUUUAAAGCAAUGCUGUGGUUAUAAAAGGCCUUUGCUGCAAUUAUAUUUUUCUUUCUUUACCACAAAGAAGCUGGUCAGUCUGCUGACCAGUCUCUGAAUGUUAGAAAAAAAGUAUUGGUGGAAUUUCAGAAAUAUCCUAUGCGAUCUGCUAAAGAGUUUCACGGAGACUCCAGCUUCCACCUUGAAUUACUACUGAAUGUAAGAAGUAUAGCUAAUAGUAUCAGUGUGGCACCCAAGUACUGAUUUGCCUAAGAUAGGAAGCCAUAUCCCCAUGACCUGCAGGUGAAAGGGAAAAAGAGAAGCAUGCUUUAAAUGCACUUGGGCGAGUACUUACCUAGUUGACCUUAUAUUUCUCCAGUAGUCUGUAGAAAUUGAAUGAGAACAUAAGAGAAUUGCUAGAAAUAAUAGAAAAUGUAGAAAUAGAAUCAGAAAGCAUAAAACUGAUUUAUAGAAUAGAUUCUUUAGGAUAAUUAGUGUGCAUCUUAAUCAGUUAGUACUCACUGAAUACUUUAUGAAAAAUAUUGUGCAUUGGACAGAGAAGAAAUGCAUUCUUCCUUUGAAAAGAAUGGAAUUUAGCAGAAAUCAUUAAAAAAUUACGUAUCAGCUGAAUAUUUUAGAUGUCAAUUUGAGAUUUUCAGCAAACAAAACAGUUUUCCAAUUGUAUCCAUACAGUUAAGGCAGAGGAUACACUAACUUUUCAGGAAGAAUUGGAGGUGGUUUGCCUUGUAGUUACGUUCAUGGAAUUAAUCAUUUUCUUUCUGUAGCCUUAUCACCUGUUUCUUUCUAUAGUACAAAUCUGUUGAUCAUUCCCCUUCCCAAAAACGUUCAUGACUCCCCUUACUUAUAGGGAGUUAUAAAAUGCUAUAUUACCUUUAAAGAACUAAUAAGCUCUUUAGUAUUUUAUACUACACCCUUUUUUUAAACGUCAUCUUUUAUCUUCACUUCCUGAAAUUCCCUUUCAUAUACACCAUGAUUCAGCCACAGACACUUGCCACAUCUGCCUUGAACAUAAGUUCUUUCAAAUAGCCUUAUAUUUACAUAAGCCUUUUUCUUUUCCUUGAACUUCUGUCCCUUUUUUCUUGAUUCUCAAGAAACUCACACUCCUUAGAGAGCAAACGUUACUGCUUCUUUAAAGCUUUAGUUAUUCCCCUGUAAUCCUGUGGCAUUGAGUAUGUACCUAUUUCUUUUAUAGUAUUUACUACAUUCUGUUGUUUUGUGUCUGUCUCCCAUUAUUAGUCUUUGAGAUUAUCCAGCGCAGAAGUUAUGUCCUGUUCAUCUCUAUACCUGUAAUCUUGCAGUUGUACCGGGUAUAGAGCAGGUUCACCCCUCUGCAUUGUUUUAUGAAUAAAUUACUCGGGGAGAGUGAAUGAGCUUUCAUGAAGUGGAUGGUAGUGGGGAUUGCCCUUAGGGGAAGACAGAUGCGGUCUCCUUUAGCUGGGGGUGGGCAAUGAUGUAAUAAAAGCCAAUUUUGACCUGCUGUCACCUGCCUUAAUGUGAAUAGGAUGCAGUAGGAAUCCAUAAAGGAUGGUGACCUCGGAACUCAGAUCUGUAUGGAUAGUCUUGCACUUGCAAGUCUAUUCAGGCCUUGCUUCCUGCUUAUUUUUGCAAUUUGGAGCUAGCCAGCAUGGAUAUGUCUGUAGUUAAGCCUCACAGUAGGCUAGAGUAUUGUAUUAAUAAGCAACAUUCCUAUGGACUUCCUUCUAUGUGUCAUCUGUAACAGAAUAAUAACAGUGGUACACCCUUUCUUCUUUGUCCUUCUCAUAUUUCUUCUCUCCCACACUUGCAUCUAUCCUGUUUGUGCUGGCUCAUGGUUUUGGACUUCUAAUGAAACUUCCUCUGUCUAAACCUAGGGAAAUUUGUUUCAGCUCAGGCAUUUGUCCUUUGUCAAGUUGACCUAUUUC
rnacentral:lncRNA from 1 species